CCUCCAGCUGCUGCAGCGCCAGCUCCAGCUCCAGGCUCUCCGGCUGCUCCACAUCCGUGCUCGCGUGCUUUUUAAAACAAUGAACUGGCUUACAUACAAGACAUCUGGCUUCUACAGUGGGAUUUAUGUUUUGGAGAGUUAUCAGAGUCAACUGGACUAAGGACUGCUCGUCAAAUGAACUCUACGAAGAGUCAAAGGAGUCAAAGGCGGUCCUCCUGGAGAUCUGGAGUCUUACCGGAGCUAUCAGGACUGAAGAUUACAAUAUCAAUGACGAUAUCAAAAUUAAUAUAUAUCAAAAUGUGUGCGGACAACAUAAAGCACUAUAUUCUGCGUUGGGAGCUGCCACAAAUGUUAGUAUUUGCUACGAUGUCUUCACCAUUAAAUAAGCCAACAGCGACGCAUUCUGAAAACCAGCGUCAGCGCUUAACAGUCACAUGAACAACAAGGAUAGCGUUCAAGUCAGUCCGGCAGUCUGGAUAGUUACAGAAGCAAUCAGGACUGAAGACUACAACAUCAACUAUCAGUGGCAAUAGCGACAACAUGAGCUACUUGUCCUGCUUCAAGGAAUGUUAA